rnacentral:rRNA from 1 species
ACCCUUCGGGGUUGAGUGGCGGACGGGUGAGUAACGCGUGAGAAUCUGCCUUCAGGUUCGGGACAACCACUGGAAACGGUGGCUAAUACCGGAUGUGCCGCAACGUGAAAGAUUUAUCGCCUGAAGAUGAGCUCGCGUCUGAUUAGCUAGUUGGUGAGGUAAAGGCUCACCAAGGCGACGAUCAGUAGCUGGUCUGAGAGGAUGACCAGCCACACUGGGACUGAGACACGGCCCAGACUCCUACGGGAGGCAGCAGUGGGGAAUUUUCCGCAAUGGGCGAAAGCCUGACGGAGCAAGACCGUGUGAGGGAGGAAGGCCCUUGGGUUGUAAACCUCUUUUGUCAGGGAAGAACACAAUGACGGUACCUGACGAAUCAGCCUCGGCUAACUCCGUGCCAGCAGCCGCGGUAAUACGGAGGAGGCAAGCGUUAUCCGGAAUUAUUGGGCGUAAAGCGUCCGCAGGUGGCUAUUCAAGUCUGCUGUCAAAGACCGGGGCUUAACCCUGGAAAGGCGGUGGAAACUGAAUGGCUAGAGAGAGGUAGGGGUAGAGGGAAUUCCCAGUGUAGCGGUGA